GACGUAGGGCGCGAGCGUUGUCCGGAUUUAUUGGGCGUAAAGAGCUCGUAGGCGGCUUGUUGCGUCGACCGUGAAAACCCGGGGCUCAACUUCGGGCUUGCGGUCGAUACGGGCGGGCUAGAGUUCGGUAGGGGAGACUGGAAUUCCUGGUGUAGCGGUGAAAUGCGCAGACAUCAGGAGGAACACCGGUGGCGAAGGCGGGUCUCUGGGCCGAUACUGACGCUGAGGAGCGAAAGCGUGGGGAGCGAACAGG
rnacentral:rRNA from 1 species